rnacentral:rRNA from 1 species
CCUACGGGAGGCAGCAGUGGGGGAUAUUGCACAAUGGGGGAAACCCUGAUGCAGCGACGCCGCGUGGGUGAAGAAGCGCCUCGGCGCGGAAAGCCCUGUCAGCAGGGAAGAAAAUGACGGUACCUGAAGAAGGAGCUCCGGCUAACUACGUGCCAGCCGCCGCGGUAAUACGUAGGGGGCAAGCGGUAUCCGGAUUUACUGGGGGUAAAGGGCGCGUAGACGGCAGUGCAAGUCCGGAGUGAAAGCCCGGGGCCCAACCCUGGGACUGCCGUGGAAACUGGAAAGCUGGAGAGGGGGAGGGACAGGCGGAAUGCGCGGUGUAGCGGUGAAAUGCGUAGAUAUCAGGAGGAACACCGGUGGCGAAGGCGGCUUACUGGACAGUGACUGACGUUGAGGCUCGAAAGCGUGGGGAGCGAACAGGAUUAGAUACCCUAGUAGUC